ACGACCCAUCUGUCCCCUACCUCGUCUCUUCCGAUUGAGUGUCCCUUCCCUAGAAAAAUCGCCGCCGCCUGUGCUCGCCGCCCUCAUCGCCGCCUCAUGAUCCUCCGCCACGCCCCUUAUGUAUCAGACUACAGGAGGGAUUGCAUCCUGUCCCGUUGCUUGCAUCGGCCAUGGAAAAGAGAUGGAUCAUGGAUAGGAGAAGAUCCAGCACCACAGCGAGGGCGCCUUGUCCCCGGCGAAAAGCAUGCACUCCGACGUGGAAAGGCGCGGGGAGGCAGGAACAGGAGCGGCAGGGUGCAGCAGUGGAGGAUGAGCACUGGAGCAAGGUACGUGCAUAUAUAGAGCCGCCACCUGGUCAAGUCCCUUCGCUCGUUGUCCAUGAUUCAUCGCUUUAGCUUCGUCUCCCCCACCACUGAUGGCUUCCACUUCUUCUCGGCUGCCUCAUCACAUCAGAAAUCAAGGUUACUGUCUGCGUUCGACCUCGUUAGCUUCGAUUGGAUGGAGGACAUUGCUCGAGGUGUGUGAUACGUGGAUGCAUCACUAAGAAGAUACAAGUCUAUGGGGCAUCUUUCUAAGGGAAUUUGAUGAUUCAAAGAAUUUCCAGUCGGAAAUCAAUGGAAACAUUAACUUCAACUGGGAAAAGUUGCUAUAAAAUAAGAUAUAUAGCUGUUGAAUUUGCUUUUAUCUGGAAUGGGACAAAUCUGAAGUAGAUUUCUGCCAUAGAAAAAAAAUCUCUAAGGUGGGGAUCGGGAUAGCGAUAGAGAAAUGGUGUACAUGGUGGCUGAGAGGCAGGGGUCAAAAGAAUACAUCCACAUUUCUAACUACGUGGUGCGCACAUACUUUGUUUAUUUAUAUUUAUAUUUUUCAAAAUAGUAUGAAGGAAUGGCAUGUGUCAUCUGUUCCAUCUGAUUUGGCAACGAGCA